UACGUAGGGAGCGAGCGUUGUCCGGAUUUAUUGGGCGUAAAGGGCGUGUAGGCGGCUUUUUAAGUCCGAAGUGAAAUUCCAGGGCUCAACCCUGGACCUGCUUCGGAUACUGGGAAGCUUGAGUGCUCUAGAGGGCAGUGGAAUUCCGGGUGUAGCAGUGAAAUGCGUAGAGAUCCGGAGGAACACCAGUGGCGAAGGCGACUGCCUGGGGAGUAACUGACGCUGAGGCGCGAAAGCUGGGGGAGCAAAC
rnacentral:rRNA from 1 species